AAGCUCGUAGUGACCUGCGGAGGAUCAUUACCGAGUUGAUUCGAGCUCCGGCUCGACUCUCCCACCCCAUGUGUACCUACCUCUGUUGCUUUGGCGGGCCGCGGUCCUCCGCACCGACCCCCGUUCGGGGGCCGGCCAGCGCCCGCCAGAGGACCACAAAACUCCAGUCAGUAAACGUCGCAGUCUGAGAAACAAGUUAAUAAACUAAAACUUUCAACAACGGAUCUCUUGGUUCUGGCAUCGAUGAAGAACGCAGCGAAAUGCGAUAAGUAAUGUGAAUUGCAGAAUUCAGUGAAUCAUCGAAUCUUUGAACGCACAUUGCGCCCCUUGGUAUUCCGAGGGGCAUGCCUGUUCGAGCGUCAUUUCAACCCUCAAGCUCUGCUUGGUAUUGGGCUCCGUCCUCCGCGGACGCGCCUCGAAGACCUCGGCGGUGGCGUCUUGCCUCAAGCGUAGUAGAAAACACCUCGCUUUGGAGCGCACGGCGUCGCCCGCCGGACGAACCUUUGAAUUUUUCUCAAGGUUGACCUCGGAUCAGGUAGGGAUACCCGCUGAACUUAAGCAUAUCAAAAAG
rnacentral:rRNA from 1 species